rnacentral:rRNA from 1 species
GACGAACGCUGGCGGCGUGCUUAACACAUGCAAGUCGAGCGGUAAGGCCCUUUCGGGGGUACACGAGCGGCGAACGGGUGAGUAACACGUGGGUGACCUGCCCUCAGCUCUGGGAUAAGCCCGGGAAACUGGGUCUAAUACUGGAUAUGACUCCAUGACGCAUGUUGUGGGGUGGAAAGCCUUGUGCGGCUGGGGAUGGGCCCGCGGCCUAUCAGCUUGUUGGUGGGGNGAUGGCCUACCAAGGCGACGACGGGUAGCCGGCCUGAGAGGGCGACCGGCCACACUGGGACUGAGACACGGCCCAGACUCCUACGGGAGGCAGCAGUGGGGAAUCUUGCGCAAUGGGCGAAAGCCUGACGCAGCGACGCCGCGUGAGGGAUGACGGCCUCGG